rnacentral:lncRNA from 1 species
AUGCCAGAUCCAUGCACCCCCGGAAGCCAAGGAAGCCUCCCCCAUUUAUCUCUGAGGACGCGCUUGCUUCACGCCAGGGUUAAAGGUCUAGAGUCUCCUCUCCUGCCCGGUCCAAGCGGAGGCGAGCAUCCGGCUCUGUCAGCCUGCUACAGACACCACAGAGUUUGACAAAGCAGCUCUCAGAGGCUGCCCUGCACUCUGCUACAGGAAAGGAAGAGUGAAAAAAGCAGCCGGCCGAGGAUCCAGGACAAAGUGUCUCCUGAGUUUCAGUAAGUGGCUCUGUCACAUAAAACUUAUGUUGGCUGUUAAGUGGCCAAGCCAGCUGCAUCCCAUGUG